rnacentral:rRNA from 1 species
CACGAACGCUGGCGGCAGGCCUAACACAUGCAAGUCGAACGCCCUAGCAAUAGGGAGUGGCAGACGGGUGAGUAACACGUGGGAAUAUCCCCCUCAGUAUGGAAUAGCCCAGGGAAACUUGGAGUAAUACCGAAUACGUCCGUGAGGAGAAAGAGUUGUCGCUGAGGGAUUAGCCCGCGUCGGAUUAGCUAGUUGGUGAGGUAACGGCUCACCAAGGAGACGAUCCGUAGCUGGUCGGAGAGGACGACCAGCAACAUUGGGACUGAGAUACGGCCCAAACUCCUACGGGAGGCAGCAGUGGGGAAUAUUGGACAAUGGGCGCAAGCCUGAUCCAGCCAUGCCGCGUGAGUGACGAAGGCCUUAGGGUUGUAAAGCUCUUUUGGCGGGGACGAUAAUGACGGUACCCGCAGAAUAAGCCCCGGCUAACUUCGUGCCAGCCGCCGCAGUAAUAC